GGGAGGCAGCAGUGGGGAAUAUUGGACAAUGGGCGAAAGCCUGAUCCAGCCAUGCCGCGCGUGUGAAGAAGGUCUUCGGAUUGUAAAGCACUUUAAGUUGGGAGGAAGGGCAGUAAGCUAAUACCUUGCUGUUUUGACGUUACCGACAGAAUAAGCACCGGCUAACUCUGUGCCAGCAGCCGCGGUAAUA
rnacentral:rRNA from 1 species